rnacentral:rRNA from 1 species
UACGAAGGGUGCAAGCGUUAUCCGGAUUCACUGGGUUUAAAGGGUGCGUAGGUGGGCAGGUAAGUCAGUGGUGAAAUCUCCGAGCUUAACUCGGAAACUGCCGUUGAUACUAUUUGUCUUGAAUAUUGUGGAGGUAAGCGGAAUAUGUCAUGUAGCGGUGAAAUGCUUAGAUAUGACAUAGAACACCAAUUGCGAAGGCAGCUUACUACACAACGAUUGACGCUGAGGCACGAAAGCGUGGGGAUCAAACAGG